AAAAAAAAAAAAAAAAAAUGUAUUCCACACUACUCAAGUCGACUACUUAGGAUACAUCAUUUCAAAUGAUGGACUUGUGAUGAAUCCUAAGAAAGUUCAAACUAUUAUAGAUUGGAAGAUUUCAAAGACGGUAAAAGAUGUCCAAUAAUUUUUGGGCUUUGUCAAUUAUUAUCAGAUCUUUCUCAAAGAAUUUUCUUAAAUUCUAGCUCUACUUAUACGUUUGACUUAUAAAAAUAAACUGAAAUAGAGAAAAGAAGCUAAAGCAUUCUUUGAAACUUUAAAGUUAUCUAUUAUUUUUAUAUCAAUCUUAUAUCGCGUCAACUUUUUUGAUGCAUUUUUUAUGGAAACAAACGCAUUAGACUUUCUUUUGAGUGUUGUAUUAUGACAAAUAGAAGCAGAUGAUAAACUUCAUCCAAUAGCUUUUCAUUCUAAAAAACUUUUAGCAGCAGAGAUUAACUAUGAAAUCUAUAAUGAAGAGCUUCUUACAAUUGUGGAUUCAUUUCAAGAAUGGCGUCAUCAUCUUGAAGGCAUUUCUAAUCUAGUCAUCGUAUAUACAGAUCACAAGAAUCUCAAGUAUUUCAUGUUAGCACAUGUUUUAAAUUGUUACCAAGCUCCUUGGAAUAUGUCCUUAUCAUGAUCACAUAUCGACCUAGAAAAUAAUAAGGUUUGUUAGACGCAUUUUCUAGAUGUUCUUAUCUUAUACUUUAAGAAAGAGAUGCAUAUUUUGAUCACUAAAGAAUAAUUUUCUUGAAGCCACAGCAUUUUCAUCUUCGAGUAAUGAAAUCAACAUUGACUGUUUAUUUCACCCUUAUGAAAAAAAUCCAAUCAAGUAUGUCUUCUGAUCCUCUCGUUCACAAUAUCAAGAAUCGUUCUUCUAAGUCCCAAGAUACUUCUAAAUUUGAGUUCAAAAAUAACCUACUAUAUUUUGAAGGUUGAUUAUAUGUUCUAAAAGGAGAAGCACAAUUAUGUGUUCUUCAAGUACGUCACGACUUUCUAGCAAGGUGACAUUUUGGAUACAACAAGACUUUGGAACUUAUAUCUAGAGAUUUUUUGUGGCAAACAAAUGUGAAAGGAUGUGAAAGACUUUAUUCAGUCAUGCGACAUUUGUUCAAGAUCAAAAACUCCUCAUCAUUGAUUGUACGGACUUCUUCAACCAUUAUCCAUUCCAAAACAACCAUGAUCUUUUGUUUCUAUAGAUUUCAUCAUGGAUCUUCUAAUCUCAAGUUCUUAUGACUCUAUAUUUGUGAUAGUAGAUCAUUUUAUGAAGAUGGCACAUUUUAUACCAUGUACAAAAUCUAUCAUACAUGAAGAAACAACUAAAUUCUUUCUUGACAAUAUCUAUGUCAUAGACAUAUGCAUGUAAGCCAAUAAUUAUAUAUAUAAAUAGGUAGAAGUUAGUAAAAAUAGGUAAAAAUAAGUUAAUUCUAUAAUAACUUCUAUAAAAGCUUUCUAAAAGCUUCAUAGACACUGCUUUGACUUUAUAGGUAUCUUAAAUUGACUUUUUGGAUUAGAAACGUGGUCAACAAGUUGGCCAUGUGCCACACAUGUCAUUAGCUUGAAGACCAAGCUAACUAUGUGGUUCACACAUAAAAAAAAAUUGCCUUGUAAAUCAAGGCAUGUGUCUUACAAAGUCAAUACAUAUUGGAGGUCCUAUAGAACAUUGCCACAUAGCCUCUAAUUAGAUAGUAUAUAUAGAGAUAAGAGUAAAGCCCUCUUCAAGCUUGUCAAUUCCUUUCUUGCUUCUAGUCUAGUUUCAAGGGUCUCUAUUUUUCUUGUCUAUUGAUAAUAGCCAUUUCACCUUCUUUCUUAAUAUAUAUAUUGAGUUAUUUCUAUUUUGUCAUCUUUUUUUGAAGAAAUUCUUAAUUAUUUAUUUAUUUUUAUGAAAUUCUUGUCCUUGACAAUCUAUCACUAUCAUGGAUUACCCAAAGAUAUUAUAUUAGAUAGGACAACUUAGUUUGUAUCAAGAUUUUGGCAGAUUCUUUUCAAGAUUCUAAAAGUAGAUAUAAAACUAUCUUUGACAUUGUAUCCUUAAAUUGAUAGAUAAAUGGAGCAUGUUAAUUAAGUUUUGGAGUAAUAUUUAAGAUGUACUAUCAACUACGAAUAAGAUGAUUAGACAACUCUUUUGCCAUUGGUAGAGUUUGCUUAUAAUAAUACAGUAUAUUUUUUUAUAAAACAAACACCUUUCUUUACCAAUUAUGAUUAUCAUCCACGACUUGAUACUUUUAACUUUUCAAAAGCUGAUAAUCCUACAACAAAAGAUUUGAAAAAUUAUUUGUAAGAGCUACAUGUAAUAAUGAAGGCGUAAUUAAAAGAAGCUCAAGAACAACGAAAGAUCAAUGUAGAUGUCUAUCAAAAGGAACAACCACCAUUCUAUGUGGUUGACAAGGUAUGGUUACUUCAUGGCAAUAUUAAGACCACUCAUCCUUGUGACAAGUUAGACUAUUGUAGGCUUGGACCAUUUCCUAUUUCUAUACAAAUCAAUCCAGUUGCAUAUCGAUUAUACCUACCAGAAUCAAUGAAAAUCCAUCCAAUAUUCUACAUGUCUCUUCUUGAACCAUACAAGAUAGUAAACAUACCAAGAAGAAGACAAGCUCCACCUCCUCUUAUUGAAGCAAACAAUAAUAAAUAAUUCAAAAUGAAAGAAGUUUUAGAUUCCACGAUCUUUUCUAUAAAAAAAAAUAAGAUCAAGAAAAGAUAACAUUCUACUUUCAAUCCUUGUUUGUAGCUCCUUUGUAUUUAUGAUGCUAAAAAGAUGGAGAAUCAAGAACCAAUAGAUUCAAUUGAAAAGCCUUUCUUUGCGGACCUAUCGAACAAGACAUUGUAAUUGUCAUAACCUUUAAGACGACGCAAUUGAGAUGAAGAUUCUCAAAAAUGACAUAUUUUUUCUUGAAUAGAUGGCAAAAUAUAACGCGUUUAGUAUCACAACCUUGGAAGAGACUUCCAAUGUUUUGUAAUUUUAUUAGAGGUAGGAAUAAUUCUUGACGAUAUUCUAAAUAUUUUAUUUGAAAGAAGUUAUGAAGGCCUCAACAACAAUCAAAUAAUAGGGUGGUCUUCUUGCUCUUAUAUGGGACACUAUCGAUUGUUGAGAGGCCUUAUCAACUAUUUUCAAAGAAAAUAAAGAUCUCAGUAUGAAGCGAAUACAAUUUGUCGCAUCAUAGAUUUUUUUAAUAUAUGAUGACUGCUCUUCAUAGAACUCAUCUCUAAAAAGAGGAGUAAUGUCACAGAUAUAUACGUGUAAGCAUGUAAUUACUUAUAUAAAUAGGUAAAAGUAAAUAAAAGUAAGUAAAAGUAAAAUUAAUUCUAUAAUAUCUUCUAUAGAAGCCUCUUAGAAGCUUCAUAGAUACUACUUUGACUUUAUAGGUAUCUAUAAUUGACUUUUUAGGCUAGAAAUGUGGUCAACAAGUUGGCCAUGUGCCACACAUAUCGUUAGUUUAAAGACUAAGCUAAUUAUAUGACCCUCACAUAAAAAAACUUGCCUUAUAAGUCAAGGCAUGUCUCCUACAAAGUCAACACAUAUUAGAGGUCCUAUAGAACAUUGCCAUAUAACCUCUAGUUAGAUAGUAUAUAUAGAGAUAAGAGUGAAGCCUUCAUCACUCUUGUGAACUCCUUUCUUGCUUCUAGUGUAGUUUCAAGAAUCUCAAGUUUUCUUGUCUUUUGGCAAUAAACCAUUUUAGUAUCUUUUAAGAUAUGUACAUCCUCAUUUCUAUUUUAUCACUUUUUCUUUGAUACGGAUUUCAUUGAUUUAUGCAUCAUCUUUCAGUUCAUGUCCUCGAUAAUUUUUGAUGGUAGAAAGACUUCAAGUGGUAUUUCAAGCUAAUACAAAGAUUAUCACAACAUUUAAAAAAAAUGUAUAUAUUCAUCUAGAAUAUCAUCACUAUAAUUAUUCAAAUGAUUUUCAAGAAAGAACUGAAUAACCAUUUGGUCCAAUCUAUAGCUUAUUAUAAAAUAAGUUGACUAUACUAAAAGAGUAUAUUAGCAAGAACUUAGCUAAAAACUUCAUAUGUCAAUUUAAAUCUCUAACAAAAGCUCCUAUCUUAUUAGAAAAAAAAAAAAAAAAAAAAAAAAAAAACUUUUGUAGAUGUGUAGAUAAUUGAGGACUCAAUAAGAUCACUAUCAAAAAUAAAUAUUCUUUAUCUUUGAUUUUAGGACUUCUUAAUCAAUUCAAUCAAAAAAUGAUUUAUACAAAAAUACAUCUACAAGAAGUAUAUAACCUAGUCCAUAUUAAAGAUGGACAUAAAUGAAAAAAAUAUGUAAAAUUAGGUAUAUACUUUUCAAAUAUAAUGUCAUGUCUUUUGGACUCAUGAAUAUACUAGUUGUUUUUCAACAUACAAUAAAUGAUUUUUUUUGUAAGUUUCUUGAUGAUUUUAUCAUCUCUUAUUUAGAAAAUAUUUUAAUCUAUUCUAAGAACAUAGAAGAGCAUGAACUUCAUACUUGUCUUAUGUUAUAAAAACUUAGAGAUGCAAGAUUAUAGGCUAAGAUGGAAAAUGUGUAUUUUACAUUAUUCAAUUUGAUUUUUCAAGAUAUAUCAUUUCAAAUGUUCUUUAGAAGCAAUCAAAUUCAUUACUUUUCAAUGCAAAAGUAAGCUUAUUAAACAAAAUAAAAACCACCAAUUUCAAAUACAUAUUUUGAAAUAUUAAUGAAAAAAAUAGCAACAUAGUUUAUCUUUUUUUAUCUAUUUUUGUUCAUAUAGAACUCAAAUUCUUUAAUAUUCAUCCAAACAAUACUAUUUUCCAAUUUUAUACACUAUAAUGUGAAACAUGCACUAAUAUGGUUUUUAAAACUCAAUUAUCUUAAUCACAUCUUUAUAUGUCUUGUACAUUCUGUUUUCUUGAUGGUUUCAAAUUCAAAUAACAUUCUGGUAAACAAUUAGAUGGUAAAUAUAAUUGCAUGGGUGAUUGCACAUGGUCAUCACAACAUGUUAAAUAAGGAGCAGAUAUGCAAUUUGACGGGACUUUGUUGGAGCAUAAUGUUUUGGAAUAGCCUUAUAAUUUCGACACUAAUAUACACAACCUUGUUAGAUAUAAAUCAUGAAAAACACACGUAUAUUGAUUCACACUGUGCAAUCUUUGGACUGACAAGUAUCUUAAUACACACACAUGUCCCUUCGCCUGGAUGGAUGUCCUCGCCUGAUCCACAAGAUUCACUUCCCCCUGGUUUGGGUGUAGGGGAGUGCCCUGUCGGUAUCGUGCGAUUCUAAAGUGCACCCCAGUCAUUCUCUGAGACAAGGGGAGCAAACCAUUCUCCCAUCUCUGACCGCCGCAAAGCGGGACCCUGUAAUCCCCCAUCGAUGUCCCACGAUCCCACACUCGGCCUCGCUUGAGCUUGUCUCAGGCAACACAACAUGCUGUCACCAGCAGCAGCCAAACCUGCACAGCCACGCCGAAAGGCACAGCCCGUGCCUAUGCACAGGUCCAUCACACAACGGCCCAUGCUGGCUACCACUCCCAAUAGCCUACCUCCACAGUCACGGACGUGAUCCGCAGUCAUGGCCACACCUACAUUCACCACAAACCCAGUUAGCAGUCGGCAGGUUCUGUCCUACUGUCCGGCAAACCAUAGUGAAUUCAGUUGACGCGCUCCGGGAGCCGUUCCAACACAUGACGACCGAUGCUGCCAAUCAUCAGUUGCGUGCGGCUCCAACGUUCUUUUCAACGAAACCAUCGAUCUCUGAUGAGGUAGCUGUCUGAUACACACACAAAUCUAGAGACGGCAUUGAAUGCGUAAGGAGUCUCGAACACCGUCGAGUUCAUGCACUGCUGCUGACGGAACUACCAAUUUCAAACGAGAUUGAUCUUUGGUUUACGCACACAUCAAGACACAAGAUACUUUCAAAUGAUGCACUGUACAGAUUCAAUCCACCUCUACGACUCCCCAGCAUUCAACGACGCUAAAACAGCUAAGUCAUUCCGCGAGAAAGCGGCAGACGCACAACAGUCUGCUCACAAUUCAUUAAACAACACCAUCUGGUUUCCUCACAUUUAAUCAACCAACUCAAGCACUGAAAGAAACUCAUGAUGCCACCCUCAACUUACUUUUGAUCAAAACACCUUCACCUCCUCCACCUCCUCUGACUGAACUCACUCACUUACUUGCUCACUCGAUCACUCACUCGCAGCCGCUGAAAUGAUCGGGGCAGGAACAAUGACGGAAUAUAAGGACUCGCGCUCCAACUUAUAGCCUUCGCUGAUCCGUGGCCCUUCGAAAAUGGCAAACAGGUCAGCUGGCUCGUCCCUCGUCGUCUUCGACUGGACCAAAUAAAUGUUCGGCCGCGACUUCUCUCGCAUAAAAUGAACGAAUGAACGAGAGAACGAAUUAAUCCAUGGAUUGAUGAAUGGAUGGAUGAGUCGAUGUUCCACUCAAUUAUCCACGCCCCUGGACUUGUUUAACGAAAUGCAAGGGGUGAAAAUAAAGAAGCAGUGCUUCCGUUUUUGGUCCGGACCAAUGGAAGUGGCUAUCUCAUUGCCAUGGCCACUUCCAUGGCUCGGACCAAUGGGAGUAAUGUGCUAUUCAAUGGAAGCACUUUACUCCCAUUUCAUGGUCCGGGCCAUGGAAGUGGUCAUUCCAUUUCGUGCUCCUUACCAUGAAUUGAUACUAUUCCAUUAGUUGCACCUUACUCCCAUUAAUCCGGACCAUGAAAUGGAAGAGCCCAUAGAAGGUAUUGCCAUCGCCUUCCCUGCACUAUUCCAGGUUUAGGAUUGGAAUCUACCGGCCAUAAUUGGUGGUCCCUGCACGAAGUCCAAAUGCGUCCAAUUGGUGGUCCCUGCACGAAGUCGGAUUGUGCAGAGACUCCGUGGGUGGGUUGGAGAAGUCUCCUGCCACACCCGGGGGUCGGAGAUAUAAAGCUAUCUUUGAGUAGCUAAUGUAAAGAUAGAAACUCCUAUCAAGAUCCUUUAAAUAUCAGAUAUGUUAUGAAUCUUAAUAAAAUAGACAUGUUAGAACAUCCUAACAUGAUAAAUUUAGCACCUAUAAAUUGUAGACAAUAUUAAGUGGCAAUUAUAGAAUAAAAUUUAAAAAUUUAUUUUAUACUUUAAAUUUUUGUUUUAAUUUUAUUGUUAAAAAUGAUGCCAAAUUAUUUCGGUUCUAAUACUAUCUUUUAUUUUUCAAUCUAUAAAAAGAUCUUUAUAAUACAUCUAAUGAAUUUUAAUUUAUAUGAAUAAACAUGUUACAACAUGAUUUAGAAAAUUGUUAAUGUAAAAUCUGGAUAGUUGAUUUUAAAGAUCUAUUUUAUUAGAUAUAAAAAUAUAAAGUAUAAAAAUAACCCCAGCUCGGCCACUCGCUCACAAACAACACACACUCAGAGCAGUUCAACCCAAGCUCCUGUUGAAGUGAAUAACAAUCAAGGUAUUAAGUAGCCCAUUGAGUUGGCACUGUUCCCAGAAAGAGAAGUAGCCCUCCGACAGAAGGCAAAAACAAGGUCUACGUGAGGGCUCUAGGGUUCUGUGAAUUGGCUGUAUGUUGAUGUUGGAGUCAACCAUGGGUGUUCCUGGCACAAAGCCAUCCCAUCUCCCUCAGAUCCACUCAAAUCCAUGGAUCAAUGGAUGAACACAAUUCUAAGAAACGGGCAAGUGAAGAGAGAAGGGGAAAUCUUGAAAUUUGAAGCUGUGUUCUUUCAAACAAACAGGAAAUCAUCGUCAUGGUCAUCGUCAUCACCACCAUGAAAACGACAACAGGCUAUGAGAAUGAGAAUGAGAAGGGAAAAAAAAAAAAAAAAAAAAAAAAAAAAACACGAUAAAACAAAUCAAUCAACCAAUAACAAGCAUGCACUGGUACAUAAAAAUAAGCAGUGACAUCUGUGAUAAAGAACGAAAACGUGUAUUUCAAAAAAAACACAAUAAUAACAACAUCAACAAUAAACAAAAUAACAAAAUCAAGUUUUCAUAGAUAAGAAAUGAAAACUGCAAUGCCGAAAAAUAAAGCUACAUAAGUAAACAAACAUACGCC
rnacentral:lncRNA from 1 species